AGAGCCAUUACCAGGUGCAAACCAGAAAUCUUCUGCUCACUGAUUAGAAAGUUGGAAUGACAACCUUUUGAAGGUAGCAAACCUGCUUGCAACCGCAAUUUCUGCUCUGGCAUUCUCUUGUUCUCCCAUUUCAAGCAACUCUAAUUACCUGCAGAAAGAUUUCCAAUUUCAACUUAAUUCAGGUGGUAGAGUUCAGAGGGAAUAACUUAAAGAGGAAUAGUCCUUUUUCCCUUCAGUUGUAUUGUAAAAACCAAUGCAGGUUUUUUUGCACUCAGAAAUAAACUGGUGCCUGUACAGGUGAAAGUUAUUUGGACAUGAUUUUUACAGAAAAUUUUCAGGAAACUACAACUUCACAUCGUUGAGAUGCAAAUCAAGGAGUAUAAUUCUAAAGUUAGCAAUUGAACAUGUUCCAAUUACAUAGAGUCAUCCAACAAUGUCUCUUUUAUAUAUGAGAUAAAUUCAACUUUGGAGUUUUAAACCUAGUUUAAAUUCUUUAGAUGGCAUCUGCUGGUGUGACAUUUAGUAAUCACCAACCAGGAUUCUUGGAUCAAAUGUGUUAUCAUAGGCAUACUGAUAAAAAGGAUCUAUAAUUCAGUCAUUCAAUAUUUACUAAGCUCAUUGCUUCUGCGAGUGACAAUUAACAGGAACUCAUGAGUUAGUAAACACAAAAUAAGUCUUCCAAGUUGUUUGAGAUAUGGAAGUUUGAUGCUUUAAAUUACCAAUUAAUUUGUAUAUCAUUUCCACUAAGUUGUUUGAGAUAUGGAAGUUUGAUGCUUUAAAUUACCAAUUAAUUUGUAUAUCAUUUCCACCAAGUUGUUUGAGAUAUGGAAGUUUGAUGCUUUAAACUACCAAUUAAUUUGUAUAUCAAAUGCCAAUGUCAUCUUAAUGGAGAAGAUGGCUAUCUAUUAGGUAAAUCGAACAUAUCAAACUUUAUGUUACAGGGAAAAGAUGAUCGGUAAAGGUAACCACUUUGAGGUUUUAUUUCAUUCCAAUUGAUCCCUGAAAAUUGAAUAUUUGGCUAAGCUAGUCGCUCAUGUUAUAAAUAUUGUCCACAUUCAUUAUAAAUUGCCUCAUCAGUGGAGCUAAGACUGUGUCAGAUGAAUCUAUAUGCAGAGAACAAUUCAGCAGUCUGCAGUUAACAUGUCACUUCAACUUUAACAUGUCAUAUUAGAAGACUGAAAGCUUAUGAUUAACUUUAGUUCUGCUUUUUCUUGACUGUGGUGUCUAAGUUUUACCUACCACUUUUCUGCCAAGGACUUCCCAACUUAAAUGGUUCCCAGUAAUCUAUCAUACUGCAUCCUUCAUUCUUUCAUCAUCAAGCAUGCAGGAAUAUUACUAUGAUCCAAAAUGCUGCUAGAUCAGUUGAGAUGUACAGAAAAAAUACAUGUCAUAGAAGGCUGUCGACCAAGCAGAAAAUGACAUGCUUGACUACUGAACAGGUCUGAGAGCCUUAUGGUGGUUAGAAGGAAUUAGAAAAUAAUAGCCAUGUGCCAUGUGCCAUGUGCUGCUGUGCAUGAACAUUCAUACUAUUAGACUCUAUUCAAUGGUAGUCGGUAUGCUAAUUUGAGAAUGUAUAAACAACCAAUAGAGCUCAAGCUAUCAAUUGUUUCUUACACAAUCUACUGCAAGUACUCAUAUUGAUAGUGCAUUCAUCACAUUUACUAUCAUGAGAUUUUAAUCACCAACUCAAAAAGGAAAGCAUUUCAUGCAGUGAAACCAAUUAUGAAGAGCUUGCUCUAGUUGGAUUAGUAUUAUGUUUCAGACCACUGAGAAAAUUUGUUGAUCAACUUCAUUCUGCUCGCUCUUCUAUCAUGAAAUUCUCUUACGCAGAUCAACGUAUUGACAUUGGCCUUUGGCACUAUAAUUAGGUUCCUCUAUUUCGAGAUGGGUAAUCAGGUUUGAGUCAUGAAAACGGUAUCUUUGUCUGCAGUGAUAAAGCUACAAGCUCUCUCUCAGAUUUUAUAUUGACAAGAAUCUCUCUCUCAGAUUUUAUAUUGAUAAGGGCCCCGUGCAUUGGACCAUCAUCACAGCAUUUCAUUGUACUGAUGGUUGUGGAAUCUUCCACAUAAAUAUAUUACUACAAAUCACCUAUUUGACUACCAACAUAGCCUGAUUAUUUGAGGGAACAUCUCCUUUAUGGUAUGUUACAAAUCUGCUGGUUUUGUGCAUUACCCUGUCUAAAUCCAAUUCCCUUGGCCCUUUAGGUCAAGGCAAGAACACUUGAUUGUUCCCCGAAAUUUAAGGGCUCAUGCACUAGAGAAUAAAACAGGAAGCACCAUUUCUCUCAUGAUGUGUUUUCCCCACCUUCCAAAGUGCAAGCAGAUGGACAUUUUAUUUAUUAUAUAUGCAAAAUAAUCCAUAAAUAUAAAUCUUACAGAACUUCUUUGGAGCUCUUUCACUCUUAUUCCCGCUUAGAAGGUUGAUUGUAUGCUAACCUUCAACCUAGCUUCCUUGCUUGACAUGCCAAAAACAGACAUCUCUAAAUGCAUUUGCUUAUGGGAAACUAUGACAUUAUUAAAAACAUCAAGCAAUUACUUCUUCAGUUGUCAUUAUUCCUAGUGUUACCUAUCAAAGAUGAUUUAGAGAAGUUACUAAAGAUUGCCUCAUUUGGAGUCAUUUCAAUUUUAUAAGCAAUUACUUUUUCUCUCCCUCUUUCUAUUUUUCCUUGAUUUGACAAUAAAAAAAACAAGAGAAUAUGUGUAUAUUUUAUUAUUUCUGAAAACUACAAUUUUAUCGGUUAAGCGGUCCUAAUCAAGAACAUACAUUGGAAUUCUUUGUACAACUAUUGAAGUCAAAACAAGGAGCCCCUUUGAUCGUGCCCUUUGGUUGAAUGGAAAAAGGCCUGCCUAAUUGAUUUUAGUGGAACAAGGACACCGUCCAAUUAUGUAUUAUGGAACAACCAGUUCCUUACUAGCAUCUACUAGUCCUUGUUCACCUAUCUGUCAUCAUGACAUGUAAGGAAAAAUUAUCCACUGUCACCAACUCCUGAAAAAUUGCUAAGAUCAUUGGAGUACAUUAAACGCCAUCACUUUGAUUAAAGUAAAUGAAACCGCAAGCAUACAUGGAAAAUAAUUAUUCCAUUGAAGGCCACAAGUGUUCUUUCUCUUUUGGUGAUCAUAGGCGUACGAUUUGAGGCUUAGGCACAAGGACUGUGAUAAAAUCAUUCUAAAAACAUCACAAAGCCCAUGAAAGUUGGAUAUAAUCCCAUGGUGAAAUAGAUAUACAUGAAACUCAACAUGACAUCCAUAAAGGAUAAUACACUGACAUUUUUCAAUCUUAGUUUCCAAUCCUUGCUCCCUAAGAACAAAAGAAUAACAGUAAAAAGAGAAAUUAACAUAGCCAAUGACAUCUUUAUUCUCAGGUUUUCUUAAUAAUAUUUUCCAUUCUCAAAUAAAGAAACUUCAAAAUAGAAUAUCAACCAAGACUUAAUCGAGAUAGCAUCAUUCCAAUUUAUGAUGUCAAGAAAUGAGUGAAUAAUGAUCCAAAUUUAAAUUAAAAAAAGCAUAUCAAGAUCCUAAACCAUCCCAAGAUGCAAGUAUACUCACCUAUGGCGUCCUCCUCGACACCCUAGCUUUGUGAGAUGCCAAAGCCUACACUUGGUGUUGUACCUGAGGAAUAAGGAACAAGCGGAUAAGGACUUCGAGCAAUAAAGAUAGGGUAUGUGCAUGACACGAUGAUUAGCUGAUGGAGAGUAAAGCAUUUAUACCCACAUAUCUUGCAUAUCUCAGAAUGUUAUACGUAGGAAAGUUGAAAAAACUAGGGCAAUAGAUAGAGCCCAUCAUUAUUUCAUUUGCUUGAAUUAGAUAAUAGAAAAAAGUUUUAUUUUUUUGCUGAAAUAGUAAGUCGUGUCAAUUCCGAUUCUUUCUGAACUGUGUAAGACUACCAAAUCUCUCAACAGUGAUAUUUGAAUGGCAACUCAUAGGAAGAGACAUAAGCAAAGUUUCUUCACCAUAGCAAGCCACUUCCUCCAACGUUUGGUAAUCUUUUUUUAUUUUCAGGUGGAAUAACAGCAUACUGAUCACUAACAAGAACUCAUUUUUAAACCAUAAUCUCCACAUCAUCUAAGGAGGUGCAAUCAAUCAGAAAGUUAUCCCUAAACAAGUGCUAAUUUUCACAUCAACUGGCCAAAGAGAAAUCAAUAGUUUAAUGGAGGAACAAAAUAAGAAUCCAGGAGUAGUACCUGCAAUGGGUUAGAGUGGGUUAGAGAAGAGGUUUCAAGAGCCAAUCUCUCAACCUCAUGAUUGAAUCCCCAUUAUCCUUCUCUCGCAAUUCCUGAAGUCACUGUAUAAAGGGAAACAUAAUCCAUAGAUGGAGUAAAAAGAGGAAACAUAAGAUAGACGAGGCUCAGAUAUGCUCCCUAUUGACAUCAUUCUCUGCAUGUCUCCCAUCUCUAUGGGUGUGACAUGAAGGAUAUGGCUGCAACGGUUGCCAACCGCAGAGCAGCAGACCAUCCAAUUGAAUUGCCAUAAAAAUAUAAAUCACAACCCUAUAAUAAGAAAGAAAUGGGUAUGUCAAGGCAUCAAAAACCCUAAACCAUGACCAACAGUAACACAAUGCAGAGAAUUAACCAGAUGGGCAAAAUCAUCAUAGCCUCAAGAAAAAAAAAGAGAGAGAAAAAAAAGCAGGCAGCAGUAGUUGGAUCCCCUCCAUGACAGUCCAUCUCCAUUCUACUCCCUGAUUUCCAGGGUUAUAUAUGCAUAAAAAGAAAAGGUCCAAUACAAAUUCAUAGACAAAUAUCACAAGCAUUCAGAAAUCAAGAAUAUAUUUUUCAUAAAAAAUCAAUUAAAUAAGCAUACAGUUCUAAGUAAAUUAUAACAUCCUGCUAUUUGCAUACGAGAACUUAGAUGAUGAGAUUCAUAUACAAAUGUAG
rnacentral:lncRNA from 1 species